UUUUUUUUUUUUUUUUUUUUUGUCUUUUUAGGGCCUUGCCUGUGGCAUAUGGUGGUUCCCAGGCCAGGGGUCAAAUUGGAGCUGAAGCUGCCAGUCUGUACCACAGCCACAGCAACCCCAGACCCUUAAACCAGAGCGAGGCCAGCGACUGAAUCUGCGUCCUUACGGAAACUAGGCAGGUUUGUUACCACUGAGCCACGAUGGGAACACCAUUUUUUUUUUUCCAAUUCAAUGGUUCCUGGUAUAUUAUGCCGUUAAAAUAUUGUGACAAAAUAAAUACCAACAGAAAAUUCACCUCUUUAACCAUUUCUUUUGGCUGCGCCCUCAGCAUACAGAAGUUCUUGGGCCAGGGAUCAAACUGGAGCCACAGUUGCGGCCUGUGCCACAGCUGCAGCAAUGCCAGAUCCUUGACCCACUGCACCACAGGGGAACUUCCAACUUUAAACAUUUUAUAAUAUGCAACUCAGCGACACGAAUUAUUCACAAUAUUGUGCAACCAUCACCACUGUCUAUUUCCAGUUUCCAUUACUCCCAACAGGGCUAUUUGGCUUUGGGGCUCACAGCGGAGUGUUGGUUUGCGCACACACUCGUCAGAGAAGCAAGGUAUCGAGGUAGAAAAGGAGCCGUUCCAAGAACUCAGUGCCAAGGCUCAGACUCUUCUGGGGUCACAGAUCCCUGAAAGCUACAGGAAGUGAUGGUUAUUUAGAAAAAUGCAACUUGAGAAGCAUAUACGACAUUCUAGAAGUCACUGCAGCCCAUCUGUAAAGUUGUCUCCCGUCCUCGACACUCAAGAUACGAACAGGCAGCCCUCCUGCCCCUCACCCCAGCCGUCUAUGGCGCUUUGCUUUGGCCAUGAACCACCACCCGUUCCUCUGCCUCCCCUGACCUGUGGCUUUAUUCUCUCAUCUGUGUACCAUACAUGAACUGUCAUGCUGUGUGGCGUUUAUUUCCCUAGGAUACAUGCCUGGGAGGGGAACCCCUGGGCUAAAGGGUAUGGAAUAUUCAGUUUUCAGGUUCAUGCUAAUUUUGAAUUAAUUCCCACAGUCACUGUACUCAAAGACCCACAAGCUUAUCAGCAACGGGUUUGUCAGCCUUUUUUUUUUUUUUUUUUUUUUUUUUUUUUUCCUGGUGUUUAGGGCUGCUCCAGUGGCACAUGGAGGUUCCCAGGCUAGGGGUCCAAUCAGAGCUGCAGCCACCCACCUAUGCCACAGCCACUUGGGAUCCGAGCUGCCGUCUGCAAGCUACACCACAGCUCACGGCAAUGCUGGUUCCUUACCCCACUGAGCGAGGCCAGGGAUCGAACCGGCGACCUCAUGGAUGCCAGUUGCUGAGCCACGACGGGAACUCCCUAGCGAGCAUACUCUUAAUUUCAAGAGUAUAAUGCAUAUGAGAAAAGCUUCUACCCAUUCCAAGGGAUCUUGGUUUACAGAAACUCGGGGCAACCUAGAAGCUUCCUAGAUCUCCCUCUCCCCCAUCUAGAAAGGUAAAGCUGUCAGGGCAGUAAUGAUUUUAUUAAUAUUUACCUCAUCCCCACGGUGAAUGAAAGAACAGAUACAGGAAAGAGAUUCUCUCUGGUGCCUGAACUGAAAACCAAAGAGCUUGCCGCCGUGAAGGAGUGUGCCUUGGUUUGUACAUUUAAUAUUUUACAGUUAGCGUGUGGUUACAGAUGGGGGAAGAGAUUAGCAGGAGGUUGUAAUUAAGUACAGUCUUUGUUAUUUUGGCUUAUUUUCACGACAAAAACCUCCAAAAGGAAAACUCUGAUACUAGAUGUGUUUCUAAGCCUGUUAACCUCGCCCAAGUGAGAGUAACUCAAACAUCUCAAGGUUAAGUGGCCAAGAAAACAGAAAAGACGGAGCGAAGCUCCUCAACCCCGAGGACAGAUGUGACCGGGCCCCGCUGACCCCUGAAGGAGGCACAAGGGGGCCUGCCCAGAGGGCCUGCUGUCCACAAAGCAUCCUUCUAGGGGGACCCUUGAGGAUCACAUGCUACCC
rnacentral:lncRNA from 1 species